rnacentral:rRNA from 1 species
AUUCCAGCUCCAGUAGCGUAUAUUAAAGUUGUUGCAGUUAAAAAGCUCGUAGUUGAACCUUGGACAAAGUGCGCGUGGUCUACCGCAAGGUACGACUGCGGCGCUGCGUCUCUUUAGGGGGACUCGAUGCUUCGGUGUCGAGGUAACCCGUGUUACUUUGAAGAAAUUAGAGUGUUCAAAGCAGGCCCGCGCUGUGAAUACAUUAGCAUGGAAUAAUAAUUUAGGACUUGGUAUCCUAUUUUGUUGGUUUUCAGGAUCUAAGUAAUGAUUGAUAGGGAUAGUUGGGGGUGCUAGUAUUUUGCGGCCAGAGGUGAAAUUCUGUGAUUCGCGAAAGACUAACUUAUGCGAAAGCAUUCACCAAGGAUGUCUUCAUCA